rnacentral:lncRNA from 1 species
CUGAAUAGAAGCAUUUUUGCAGAUUUGCAGGAUUGGGCCCACAGAUUCCAUCCAUAGAAAUAUAAUUUGUUCCAGAGGCAUGAUUAUAAUAUGACAAUAAUUUUGAACCUAGCUUCCCAAAGAAGCGAGACUUAUGCAAGCGUGCUGUCAGGCAUCCCCUUCAUGAACCUGUGAGCCCACUGAGCAGAUUCAGACUUCAGAGCGACACUCCAUUCUCAAAGACACUGUGCCCUCUAGUGGAACUGGCUAGACACACAUUGCAUUUUAUCUUCUUCUCAAAAUCAGCAAACUUGAUCUGAAUUACAUUCAUCAGUUGGAGUUAUGAUCUUCAUCUUCUGUUAGGUAACUGUUUUAUUAACUUUAAAGAAUUUACUAGUGCAGAGUUGUGCAAGAGUUUCAAGAUACUGAGAGAAACCAAAUUGAAAAGUUUUAAAUAAAGUCCUUAUUUCUGAAGUUCCCUUCCUUUUA